AUUUGACCUCAAAUCAGGUAAGGACACCCGCUGAACUUAAGCAUAUCAAUAAGCGGAGGAAAAGAAAAUAACAAUGAUUCCCCUAGUAACUGCGAGUGAAGAGGGACAAGCUCAAAUUUUAAAUCCAUCGGGUUUUACCUGAUCGAGUUGUAAUUUGAAGAAGCGUUUUCUGCGUAUUUGAUCAGCCUAAGUCCUAUUGAAUGAGGCAUCACGGAGGGUGAUAAUCCCGUCCGGUUGAUCAUUUGCGUUUUACGAUACGCUUUCUAAGAGUCAAGUUGUUUGGGAUUGCAGCUUAAAAUGGGAGGUAAAUUUCUCCUAAGGCUAAAUAACGGCGAGAGACCGAUAGCGAACAAGUACCGUGAGGGAAAGAUGAAAAGAACUUUGAAAAGAGAGUUAAACAGUACGUGAAAUUGUUGAAAGGGAAACGAUUGAAGCCAGUCGUACCUUCGGGUAAUCAGCCUUUCGGGUGCGAUUCUGUGGAGUUUGAGGAGCUUUAACACCUUCAUGCUUUGCAUAUUCGUGCUCUUGGGUGUACUUGCCCGUGUGGUUGGUUAACAUCAAUUUCGGGCACCAUAAAAUGGCUGGAGGAAUGUAGCUUCGAUCUUGUAUUGAAGUGUUAUAGCCUUCGGUAGAUGUGGUGAUCGAGAUUGAGGAUUGCAACGGAUACCUUUCGGGGCUACCUGUCUGAUCUCUGAUCGUUGCUUUGGUGCUGAAAGCGUGCUUAUAGUUAUCAAAGUCGAUGGUUAAUAGGUUAGAAUGGGUUAAAUUCGUUAAGGAUGUUGACGUAAUGGCUUUAAACGACCCGUCUUGAAACACGGACCAAGGAGUCUAACAUAUAUGCGAGUGUUAGGGUGAUUAAACCCUUACGCGUAAUGAAAGUAAUUUUGGUGGGAACACUUUUGUGCACCAUCGACCGAUCAGGAUAUUUUUUGAUAGAUUUGAGUAAGAGCAUAUCUGCUAGGACCCGAAAGAUGGUGAACUAUGCCUGAAUAGGGUGAAGCCAGAGGAAACUCUGGU
rnacentral:rRNA from 1 species